rnacentral:antisense_RNA from 19 species
CGUAGCGGUAGGACGGAAGUGGGACACUUUCGAGUGUGCUGGCCUCUGAGACCAGUCUGUCAACCCACUUUCGUUCUGCCACCAUA